rnacentral:rRNA from 1 species
AUUGAACGCUGGCGGCAGGCCUAACACAUGCAAGUCGAACGGUAACAGUACUACGCUUGCUUCUUUGCUGCCGAGUGGCGGGCGGGUGAGUAAUGUCUUGGCUACUUCCUGAUGGAGGGGUAUAACUACUGGAAACGGUAGCUAAUACCGCAUUACUUCGCAUCACUAAUUAUUGGGACCUUCGGUCCUCUUGCCAUCGGAUGCGCCCAGAUGGGAUUAGCUUGUAGUUGGGGUUACGGCUCUCCUAGGCCACUAUCCCUAGCUGGUCUGAGAGGAUGACCAGACACACUGGAACUGAGACGCGGUACAGACUACUACGGGAGGGGGGAGUGGGGAAUAUUGCACAAUGGGAGGAAGCCUGAUGCAGCCAUGCCGCGUGUAUGAAAAAGGCAUUCGGGUUGUAAAGUACUUUCAGCGGGGAGGAAGGGAGAAAAGUUAAUACCUUGGCUCAUUGACGUUACCGGAAGAAGAAGCACCGGCUAACUCCGUG